rnacentral:miRNA from 1 species
UCCACCUGCCUUGGCCUCCCAGAGUGCUAGAAUUAAAGGCGUGAGCCACCAUGCCUGGCCUGUUGUUUUUAAUCAUAGUGAAAAAUAAAAGG